GUAUGCGAUGAAGGAGAGGAGUGUGUCCAUGGUUUGAUUUCGUGGGUAAUCGUCAUCCCUGCAGGCCCUGUCUCUGUAGCGUGAGGAUGUCAUUCUUUCAGGUUCGUGUUCUUUGAUGCCUUGCAAAUGGAAGACAUCACUGUGUCAUAUGAUGAGGGUGGUUCUUUUGAUUCUAUGUGGUUAGUUCAGCAGAGAGAACAAAUGCAGUUGAGUCUUCUUGUGCAGUUUCAAUGUCGUUCUCAGGCGGGUUGUAAAUACAUGAUCCAUGGAGCCUACCAUCUCCAAUGCACCCUGGCUAUCUAUUAGCAACCUCUUACUUUUCACAUUCCAAGAAGAACAUAGUAUGGCCAAGCCAAGAACACUUCAGACUAAUAUGCGUA